rnacentral:rRNA from 1 species
AAACCAACAGGGAUUGCCCUAGUAACGGCGAGUGAAGCGGCAACAGCUCAAAUUUGAAAUCUGGCUUCCUUUGGGGGUCCGAGUUGUAAUUUGCAGAGGGUGCUUUGGCGUCGGCAGCGGUCUAAGUUCCUUGGAACAGGACAUCACAGAGGGUGAGAAUCCCGUACGUGGUCGCCUGCCUUCGCCGUGUAAAGCCCCUUCGACGAGUCGAGUUGUUUGGGAAUGCAGCUCUAAAUGGGAGGUAAAUUUCUUCUAAAGCUAAAUACCGGCCAGAGACCGAUAGCGCACAAGUAGAGUGAUCGAAAGAUGAAAAGCACUUUGGAAAGAGAGUCAAACAGCACGUGAAAUUGUUGAAAGGGAAGCGCUUGCAGCCAGACUUGCUCGCAGUUGCUCAUCCGGGUCCGCCCGGAGCACUCUUCUGCGAGCAGGCCAGCAUCAGUUUGGGCGACCGGAUAAAGGCCUCUGUCAUGUAUCUUCCUUCGGGAUGACCUUAUAGGGGAGGCGUAAUGCGGCCAGCCCGGACUGAGGUCCGCGCAUCUGCUAGGAUGCUGGCGUAAUGGCUGUAAGCGGC